GGCUGGAGCCGGCAGUGCCGGGCCUGGGGCAGCCCCCGCCUCUCCUCACAGAGACUGCAGAUCCCUGCCCACACCUGCUGCCGGUACAAAAGGGAAACAAAUACAGUAAAAUUUCACUAAAGGCAAAGUACAAUCCAGCGCACUUGGCUUAAAUGUCCUUGAGCAUUUGGAGAACUGAAAUGAAGAAGUCAGACAGUUGGCUAAAUCAGACAGGAAAAAGUCUUAUUUUGCAGAUCACAGUGAAAUAAACAGUUAAAUGGUGUGUCAGAGGCUAUGCAACAGGAGGCUGAUGCUGAUAUUCUGGAACCUCUCCUCAUAAGCAGUCCAGUUGACCUUGUUAACAGCAUGUAAAUAUACAGUUCUAAGAUGUUAAUUGGCAAGGAUGCUAUUAGCAUCAUGUUGUCUUGAAUAACUGCAGACAUUUUAAAUAAGAGAAGUGACAUCUAAAUCCAUAGGUGUUUUAAUCAGGAAGUUGCGUAGUAGUCCAAACAUGUUGUUAUCUAAAUGGCUAUAGAGACGAUUGAUUACAAAAAUAACAAAUAUCAGAUGAUUUGCAUACACUUUGCUAAUCUGAAAAAGUGUGGAAUAAAAAAUUUGCCUGUGGUCAUUCUGUAAUUCAGUGGUUUAUAUGAAAAUGACCUCAUUCAAUAGGUUAUGUUUGCACAAAUACUCUGUGGUACAAAUUGCAAGGCACAAAUACAAGCAAACUAAAAUCUUCAAAGUACUGUAGAACUUAAGAGGUGGGUUGUUUUUUUUCUCCAAAUGUUUUUAAAAUACUUUUGCUGUUAGUGCAACAAGCCAUUGGUUUGGGCUUGUUUAUUUUUUUCUCUGUAGUCUUUUUUCAUUCAGGUUUGCAAUGAAUCUGCUGCUUGCUUUUGGAUGGCACACAGUGAUAGCAAAUUCAUUCCAACCACUCUCAAGCCAUGUAAGAAUAGCCACACGGAACAUAAAAGCAGUGUGCCUCUCAGUGCUUUGCUUUUUAUUGCUAAUGGAGAGCAUUCAAUAUAUAAUAAACUAUUUAUAGUGUUUUGCAUGUGUCCUUGACACAGCACUUCUGAUACAGGAAUUGUUAAAAUGAACAGCAUCAUGUAUGUAUACAAAUCAAAUCUUUGUCACAGAGGUUGAAGCUACACCAAUAAAAUGAAUGAUGGAAAAUGAACAGGAAUAGUGAUGUUACUUGACCAUCCACCUUCUGAUUUGAAGUGCCAAGUGUCCAGAAAAUAAUCAAAUGAAUUUUUAACUUGCCAACUGCAAAAUUUAUUCUUUUAUUGUCUGGAGAAUUUGCUGCCAUGUGGUCUAUUUUGGGGAAUGAUGUAAAAUCCUGAGGGAAAUCUAAACCAUAUACCACAUGAGCAUGCAUGCAAUCAAAUGGAAUACAGUAUGUCAGUUUUUAAGCACUUCUUGUGAUUUCAUUACGUAUGACAGAACCUGUUUAUUAGUCUUGAAGACUCAACUGAUACAUCCACGGAACAUAAGAAUUUCUCCAUUUUGCUUCAAAAACUGUUUCACUCCUGUUUUGUACUUGACAGCAACGAGAAUGAAAGGACUGAAUAUCUCUUUCUAUGUAGUACUUGAUUUCUGUGCUAAGAUUGCAAAAAGAUACUAUCUAGUACAGAUUUUAAUAAUGAUCUUUGUGCUGGCAAUGUCUGCCCAUUAGAAAAUAGGAUGAAAUGAUCUACUGUUGGACAAGCUAACAGUUGUCAAAUAGUAAUGAUUUGCCAUCUGCAUUUAAGGAUGAGUUUGAUGGUAAGCUACUGGUGGAAAGCUAUACACCCUUUUAUAAAUCUCCUGAGCCAUCUGUUUAUUUUAGUGUGUAACUUGUUUGUAUGCACAGUGAAAAUGUCUGAUGUUAUGAGGUAUGACUAGCUCACAGUACCUUCUUUAACAUACGUUUACCUUGUAAGCAACAUAAUUGGAAUAAUACUGCAUGGAGAUAGUGAGAAUAUAUAUAUUUUCCAGAGCUGUACUAAUGAGAAUUAUCUUGCUGAAUCCUAUGUAGCUGUGGAAAUUUAGAGAAUUAUCUAUGCCCUAGUCAGGGGCUGUAGUUUCUUCCUUAAUAAUAUCUUUGCAAUUAUGUUGCCUACAAAGUAACCCAAAACUUAACUAAACAAACCCCCUCUUCUACCUGUGAGUUAGUUAUAGCCCAUGUAAUAUGUAAUCUAUUCAUGCUAUUACUUACAAACUAAUGACGAGGUUGUAAGGAGGCUUUGCUUUCAGAAGGUCACUUUUUAUGCUUGCGUAAACCCUGACAAGCUACGUUUCUCAUGUCUGUUUUAAUAUGAAUGAAUGAGCCAUUUACUGGUUUCUUUCCUAGAGGUGAAUUUUCAUUUCCUAAGCUCUGAAUGAGGCUGUUGUGAUCAAUGUUCUCGUUACCCAAUUUUUUCUAUCUAUCUAUUCCAUGUAUCUCCUCCUGGAAAAUCUCCCCAGAAUUUUACCAACCUUGUCUGUGCUUGAAACUCUACUUGUCCAGUUUAUUUGCUGCCAAGAUAACCAGGGAGACUUGCUUGUUUCAAAAUACAGUUAUGGUCGAUAAACAGCAAAGAUUCCCAUUGCAUAUCCUAGAAAACAAU